UACGUAGGGUGCAAGCGUUAUCCGGAAUUAUUGGGCGUAAAGAGCUCGUAGGCGGUCUGUCGCGUCUGCUGUGAAAUCUGGGGGCUCAACCCCCAGCCUGCAGUGGGUACGGGCAGACUAGAGUGCGGUAGGGGAGAUUGGAACUCCUGGUGUAGCGGUGGAAUGCGCAGAUAUCAGGAAGAACACCGAUGGCGAAGGCAGCUCGCUGGGACGUUACUGACGCUGAGACGCGAAAGCGUGGGGAGCAAACAGG
rnacentral:rRNA from 1 species